CCCUCUCACUCUCAACAUCAUCCAUCAGUUGCCUACCCCAACCCUCACCGCCCUAUCCCAUUUAAUUUUGUACGAUUCAUCUUCUUCUUCUUCAAUCAAAUCACUACUCCUUCAAUUUUGUUGUCAGUUAUCCAACUCAAUUGAUCCUUCUUCAAUUCGAUUAUCAGAUUCUUUAAUUCAUUUGUUCCUCCUUCAAUGACCUUUUCCUUUUCCAGCCACCCCAUGUAUUAAGAAGUUGUCCAGACAUGAAGACUUAUCAACGAUGAUGGUGUUCGGGCGAUGAAGAUGGUACGUGGUGGAUAAAGAAAAGGCCCAACAACGGUGGUGGGUUCCGUCACAAGUCAGUCUGGGGGUUGUUAGGAUUCCAGCAGAUGAAUCCUCUGGUCAACUAUGGUGAAGUUGGUUGAGAAGGAUGAGGAAAGGGCGUUGAUAGCGCACUAAAGGAUCUGGUGAUUGUUAUGAAACAACGGAAUUGGGCCGAAGAAGCAGUUUAAGUGAUUAAGUUUUUACGAAGAAGAUGUUCGGAUAAGGCUCAAGAAAACCACAACAUCACAAGGGAAGAAGUUUCAAGUUUCGGUCGAGCAGGAGGCAACUCGACUGCUGGGGAUUUUGUGUUAGGCAUUAAUGCAACAAAACAAUUAUGUAGAAGACGAGAUGCAUACCAAAGGGCGUUAUUGAUCGCGCUAGAUAACAACAAGAUGCACAACCUUGAUAUAGUAUGUAUAGUUAUUCAUAUAUAGAUACGCGUAUGUAUAAUAUUUAUUUGUGUAUAGGCAUAGGCAAGUAAAUGCAUAUACUAGAGUUAAAGUAGAUACACUACCAAAAAUUCGUGUAUCUCAUUGCUGUAUACAUGAAAUUCUUCUGACAUGGCCAUAGAGGUCUGAAAAAGUGGCUAAUUUUGAGAUGUACUGUUAACUUUUUUUGUAAUUAAUUAGAAGAGUAAACUGCCAUUUUAGUCCCUGAGGUUUGUUCACUUUUGCCACUUUAGUCCAAAACUCAAACUUUUUGCAUCGGG
rnacentral:lncRNA from 1 species